UACGUAGGGUGCAAGCGUUAAUCGGAAUUACUGGGCGUAAAGCGUGCGCAGGCGGUUUUGUAAGUCUGUCGUGAAAGCCCCGGGCUCAACCUGGGAAUUGCGAUGGAGACUGCAAGGCUUGAAUCUGGCAGAGGGGGGUAGAAUUCCACGUGUAGCAGUGAAAUGCGUAGAGAUGUGGAGGAACACCGAUGGCGAAGGCAGCCCCCUGGGCCAAUACUGACGCUCAUGCACGAAAGCGUGGGGAGCAAACAGG
rnacentral:rRNA from 1 species